GGUUAAGCGACUAAGCGUACACGGUGGAUGCCCUGGCAGUCAGAGGCGAUGAAGGACGUGCUAAUCUGCGAAAAGCGUCGGUAAGGUGAUAUGAACCGUUAUAACCGGCGAUGUCCGAAUGGGGAAACCCAGUGCAAUUCGUUGCACUAUCGUUAACUGAAUACAUAGGUUAACGAGGCGAACCGGGGGAACUGAAACAUCUAAGUACCCCGAGGAAAAGAAAUCAACCGAGAUUCCCCCAGUAGCGGCGAGCGAACGGGGAGCAGCCCAGAGUCUGAAUCAGCUUGUGUGUUAGUGGAACGGUCUGGAAAGUCCGACGGUACAGGGUGAUAGUCCCGUACACCAAAAUGCACAGGCUGUGAACUCGAAGAGUAGGGCGGGACACGUGGUAUCCUGUCUGAAUAUGGGGGGACCAUCCUCCAAGGCUAAAUACUCCUGACUGACCGAUAGUGAACCAGUACCGUGAGGGAAAGGCGAAAAGAACCCCGGCGAGGGGAGUGAAAAAGAACCUGAAACCGUGUACGUACAAGCAGUGGGAGCACCUUCGGGUGUGACUGCGUACCUUUUGUAUAAUGGGUCAGCGACUUAUAUUCUGUAGCAAGGUUAACCGUAUAGGGGAGCCGCAGGGAAACCGAGUCUUAACUGGGCGUUAAGUUGCAGGGUAUAGACCCGAAACCCGGUGAUCUAGCCAUGGGCAGGUUGAAGGUUGGGUAACACUAACUGGAGGACCGAACCGACUAAUGUUGAAAAAUUAGCGGAUGACUUGUGGCUGGGGGUGAAAGGCCAAUCAAACCGGGAGAUAGCUGGUUCUCCCCGAAAGCUAUUUAGGUAGCGCCUCGUGAAUUCAUCUUCGGGGGUAGAGCACUGUUUCGGCUAGGGGGUCAUCCCGACUUACCAACCCGAUGCAAACUACGAAUACCGAAGAAUGUUAUCACGGGAGACACACGGCGGGUGCUAACGUCCGUCGUGAAGAGGGAAACAACCCAGACCGCCAGCUAAGGUCCCAAAGUCAUGGUUAAGUGGGAAACGAUGUGGGAAGGCACAGACAGCCAGGAUGUUGGCUUAGAAGCAGCCAUCAUUUAAAGAAAGCGUAAUAGCUCACUGGUCGAGUCGGCCUGCGCGGAAGAUGUAACGGGGCUAAACCAUGCACCGAAGCUGCGGCAGCGACACUAUGUGUUGUUGGGUAGGGGAGCGUUCUGUAAGCCUGCGAAGGUGUGCUGUGAGGCAUGCUGGAGGUAUCAGAAGUGCGAAUGCUGACAUAAGUAACGAUAAAGCGGGUGAAAAGCCCGCUCGCCGGAAGACCAAGGGUUCCUGUCCAACGUUAAUCGGGGCAGGGUGAGUCGACCCCUAAGGCGAGGCCGAAAGGCGUAGUCGAUGGGAAACAGGUUAAUAUUCCUGUACUUGGUGUUACUGCGAAGGGGGGACGGAGAAGGCUAUGUUAGCCGGGCGACGGUUGUCCCGGUUUAAGCAUGUAGGCUGGUUGUCCAGGCAAAUCCGGAUAAUCAAGGCUGAGGUGUGAUGACGAGGCACUACGGUGCUGAAGUAACAAAUGCCCUGCUUCCAGGAAAAGCCUCUAAGCAUCAGGUAACAUCAAAUCGUACCCCAAACCGACACAGGUGGUCAGGUAGAGAAUACCAAGGCGCUUGAGAGAACUCGGGUGAAGGAACUAGGCAAAAUGGUGCCGUAACUUCGGGAGAAGGCACGCUGGUGUGUAGGUGAAGUCCCUGCGGAUGGAGCUGAGACCAGUCGAAGAUACCAGCUGGCUGCAACUGUUUAUUAAAAACACAGCACUGUGCAAACACGAAAGUGGACGUAUACGGUGUGACGCCUGCCCGGUGCCGGAAGGUUAAUUGAUGGGGUUAUCCGUAAGGAGAAGCUCUUGAUCGAAGCCCCGGUAAACGGCGGCCGUAACUAUAACGGUCCUAAGGUAGCGAAAUUCCUUGUCGGGUAAGUUCCGACCUGCACGAAUGGCGUAAUGAUGGCCAGGCUGUCUCCACCCGAGACUCAGUGAAAUUGAACUCGCUGUGAAGAUGCAGUGUACCCGCGGCAAGACGGAAAGACCCCGUGAACCUUUACUAUAGCUUGACACUGAACAUUGAGCCUUGAUGUGUAGGAUAGGUGGGAGGCUUUGAAGCGUGGACGCCAGUCUGCGUGGAGCCAACCUUGAAAUACCACCCUUUAAUGUUUGAUGUUCUAACGUUGGCCCCUUACCGGGGUUGCGGACAGUGUCUGGUGGGUAGUUUGACUGGGGCGGUCUCCUCCCAAAGCGUAACGGAGGAGCACGAAGGUUAGCUAAUCCUGGUCGGACAUCAGGAGGUUAGUGCAAUGGCAUAAGCUAGCUUGACUGCGAGCGUGACGGCGCGAGCAGGUGCGAAAGCAGGUCAUAGUGAUCCGGUGGUUCUGAAUGGAAGGGCCAUCGCUCAACGGAUAAAAGGUACUCCGGGGAUAACAGGCUGAUACCGCCCAAGAGUUCAUAUCGACGGCGGUGUUUGGCACCUCGAUGUCGGCUCAUCACAUCCUGGGGCUGAAGUAGGUCCCAAGGGUAUGGCUGUUCGCCAUUUAAAGUGGUACGCGAGCUGGGUUUAGAACGUCGUGAGACAGUUCGGUCCCUAUCUGCCGUGGGCGCUGGAGAAUUGAGGGGGCUGCUCCUAGUACGAGAGGACCGGAGUGGACGCAUCACUGGUGUUCGGGUUGUCAUGCCAAUGGCACUGCCCGGUAGCUAAAUGCGGAAGAGAUAAGUGCUGAAAGCAUCUAAGCACGAAACUUGCCCCGAGAUGAGUUCUCCCUGAGACUUUAAGUCUCCUGAAGGAACGUUGAAGACGACGACGUUGAUAGGCCGGGUGUGUAAGCGCAGCGAUGCGUUGAGCUAACCGGUACUAAUGAACCGUGAGGCUUAACCUU
rnacentral:rRNA from 1 species